GGCUCAGAACGAACGCUGGUAGCGUGGAUUAGGCAUGCAAGUCGAACGGGAUCCGGAAGGCAGCAAUGUCGGCCGGUGAGAGUGGCGGAAGGGCGAGGAACACGUGGGCAACCUGGUCCAGGAGGUGGGGAAAAACCUCGGGAAACUGAGGCUAAUACCGAAUGUGGCGCCCGCUCGCAUGAGCGGAGCGCCAAAGGGGGCGAAAGCUCCCCCUCCACGAGGGGCCCGCGCACCAUCAGCUAGUCGGCGGGGUAACGGCCCACCGAGGCUUACGGUUAGCUGGUCUGAGAGGAUGGCCAGCCGCACUGGGACUGAGAUACUGCCCAGACUCCUACGGGAGGCUGCAGUCGAGGAUCAUUCGCAAUGGGCGAAAGCCUGACGAUGCGACGCUGCGUGGAGGAUGAAGGCCUUCGGGUUGUAAACUCCUGUCAUGAGGGAAAAGGAGACCUUACCUAAUACGUAGGGGAUUUGAUGGUACCUCAAGAGGAAGGGACGGCUAACUCUGUGCCAGCCGCCGC
rnacentral:rRNA from 1 species